GCUGGGCGUGGUGGCGCAUGCCUGUAAUCCCAGCAUCUAGGGAGGCUGAAGAAGGAGGAUGGCGAGUUCAAAGCCAGCCUCAGCAAUUU
rnacentral:sRNA from 1 species